CUUUAAAACCAUCCUCCCCCGCGCCCCAUGCAUCCGACGCAACCUCUCAGCUUCCCAAGAACCAGCGAGCACUCCACCUACACCUAGCUAGCCCAUCCAUCAUCACCGACUCGAAAGGUUUCCGACAAUGAUGCCUGGGUACGGCGGCGGCGGCGGCGGUGGGGUGCGGCACCGGACGUGCCGCAUGUACUGGUGCUACGAGUGCGCCAGGGCGCUCCGCAUCAUCUCCUACCCGUCCACCGACGUCUUCUGCCCGCGCUGCUACGGCCGCUUCCUCCACGAGAUCGACCCGCCGCCGCGCCCCGCGCUCCCGCCGCCGGGCUUCUUCCCCUACCACCUGGCCCCGUCGCACUACGACGGGAACCCGCGAAGCUGGGUCGUCCACGGCACCGGCGUCGGGGGCACGCCCGCGCUGCCAGGACGCGCCUUCCGCCAGCUACCUCCACCGCUAUCCUCAGCGCCGGGGCGGGUCCCUGCACCUGCACCCCCACGCCGACGCGUGCCCUCCCCUCCGCCGCCUGCUCCAGUACCGCGGCGCCCGUCCGCGGCCCCGGCCAUCGACCCGGGGGACUACUUCACGGGCGGCGACCUCAGCAGCCUCGUCGAGGAGCUCACCCAGAACGACCGGCCGGGGCCCGCACCAGCAGCAACAUCGGCCAUCGACUCGCUCCCGACGGUGCGGAUCACCUCCACCCACAUGUCGGACGACGGCGGCUCGCACUCGCAGUGCCCCGUGUGCAAGGAGGACUUCGAGCUCGGGGAGGCCGCGCGGCAGCUGCCGUGCAAGCACGUCUACCACUCCGACUGCAUCGUGCCCUGGCUCCGCCUCCACAACUCCUGCCCCGUCUGCCGCUUCCAGCUGCCCGGCAGCGGCGCCGCCUCCAACGCACGUCGUGGCAGCGGCGGUAGCAAUAACGGCGGCCGUGGUGGAGACAACGGGCAAGCUGGACGGAGGGAGCCGCCGACGAUGGUGAGGUGGGGGCCCUUGUCGUGGAUGUGGCCGCCGCGCGGAACGGAGGACCCGGACGACGGCUGGGAGUACGGCCGGCAUGGGCAUGGCCACGCCCACGGCAGGCCUGACGCGGGCGACGCCGGCGCUUUCUACGCGUGGUGGCGCUCUCUGUUUCUUCUAUAGCAGGAUGCAAGUCACUAUGCCAAGAAAACCUCAACAUUUGGUCAAGUCAUCAGGUAAAGCACGAAGCCCCUGUAAAUAUUAUGCAGAGUUCAACCGCAAUGGUGGAUGUUCUGGACGCACUGGAGUUGCAGAACUGCUACUGUAAUUAGAAGCUGUAGAUGAAAUAGAGGUCACUUUGAUGCAAUCCAUGCAAUACUGGACAUGGUGGAAAAGAACGGCCCAAAAUGUAACUAUGCAACGCUCAAUGUAUGUAGAGUUCUUAUUCUAUAGCUC